AUUGAACGCUGGCGGCAUGCCUUACACAUGCAAGUCGAACGGCAGCACGGGAGCAAUCCUGGUGGCGAGUGGCGAACGGGUGAGUAAAGUAUCGGAACGUGCCCAGUCGUGGGGGAUAACGUAGCGAAAGUUACGCUAAUACCGCAUACGAUCUAUGGAUGAAAGCGGGGGAUCGCAAGACCUCGCGCGAUUGGAGCGGCCGAUAUCAGAUUAAGUAGUUGGUGGGGUAAAGGCUCACCAAGCCGACGAUCUGUAGCUGGUCUGAGAGGACAACCAGCCACACUGGGACUGAGAAACGGCCCAGAGUCCUACGGGAGGCAGCAGCGGGGAAUUUUGGACAAUGGGCGAAAGCCUGAUCCAGCCAUGCCGCGUGCAGGAUGAAGGCCUUCGGGUUGUAAACUGCUUUUGUACGGAACGAAAAGGUUUGGGCUAAUAAGCUGAGCUCAUGACGGUACCGUAAGAAUAAGCACCGGCUAACUACGUGCCAGCAGCCGCGGUAA
rnacentral:rRNA from 1 species